rnacentral:ncRNA from 1 species
GCCUUAUUAUUAAUUUUAAUUAAACUUACACAUGCAAGUCUCCGCUAUCCAGUGAGAAUGCCCUUAAAACUAAAGAUUAAGGAGCUGGUAUCAGGCACACAAACGUAGCCGACUACACCUUGUUUAACCACACCCCCACGGGCAACAGCAGUGACUAAUAUUAAGCCAUAAACGAAAGUUUGACUAAGUUAUAAUUAUAGGGUUGGUUAAUUUCGUGCCAGCCACCGCGGUCAUACGAUUAACCCAAAUUAAUAAACUCCGGCGUAAAGCGUGUUCAUAAAUAAAGUCAAUAGUCAACUAAACUGUAAUACGCUAUAGUUGAAAUAAAGAUAAACAAUUAAAAUGACUUUAAAACUGCCGAACACGACAGCUAGGGUACAAACUGGGAUUAGAUACCCCACUAUGCCUAGCCAUAAACUUUAAUGAUUCUUCAACAAAACUAUUCGCCAGAGGACUACUAGCAAUUGCUUAAAACUCAAAGGACUUGGCGGUGCCCUAAACCCACCUAGAGGAGCCUGUUCUAUAAUCGAUAAACCCCGAUAAACCCGACCCUACCUUGCCAAUACAGCCUAUAUACCGCCAUCGUCAGCCCACCUUAAAAAAGUAAAACAGUAAGCAAAAUUAUCUUCCAUAAAAACGUUAGGUCAAGGCGUAGCAUAUGAUAGGGAAAGAAAUGGGCUACAUUCUCUACCUUAGAGAAUAACGAAUCACUUUAUGAAACUAACGUGCCUGAAGGAGGAUUUAGUAGUAAAUUAAGAAUAGAGAGCUUAAUUGAAUUAGGCAAUAGGGCG